rnacentral:rRNA from 1 species
CACAUGCAAGUCGAGGGGCAUCGGGAACAUAGCUUGCUUUCUUUGCCGGCGACCGGCGCACGGGUGAGUAACACGUAUCCAACCUGCCCUUUACUCGGGGAUAGCCUUUCGAAAGAAAGAUUAAUACCCGAUAGUAUAAUGAUUCCGCAUGGUUUCAUUAUUAAAGGAUUCCGGUAAAGGAUGGGGAUGCGUUCCAUUAGGUUGUUGGUGAGGUAGCGGCCCACCAAGCCUUCGAUGGAUAGGGGUUCUGAGGGGAAGGUCCCCCACAUUGGAACUGAGACACGGUCCAAACUCCUACGGGAGGCAGCAGUGAGGAAUAUUGGUCAAUGGGCGCUAGCCUGAACCAGCCAAGUAGCGUGAAGGAUGAAGGCUCUAUGGGUCGUAAACUUCUUUUAUAUAAGAAUAAAGUGCAGUAUGUAUACUGUUUUGUAUGUAUUAUAUGAAUAAGGAUCGGCUAACUCCGUGCCAGCAGCCGCGGUAGUACGGAGGAUCCGAGCGUUAUCCGGAUUUAUUGGGUUUAAAGGGAGCGUAGGUGGACUGGUAAGUCAGUUGUGAAAGUUUGCGGCUCAACCGUAAAAUUGCAGUUGAUACUGUCAGUCUUGAGUACAGUAGAGGUGGGCGGAAUUCGUGGUGUAGCGGUGAAAUGCUUAGAUAUCACGAAGAACUCCGAUUGCGAAGGCAGCUCACUGGACUGCAACUGACACUGAUGCUCGAAAGUGUGGGUAUCAAACAGGAUUAGAUACCCUGGUAGUCCACACAGUAAACGAUGAAUACUCGCUGUUUGCGAUAUACAGUAAGCGGCCAAGCGAAAGCAUUAAGUAUUCCACCUGGGGAGUACGCCGGCAACGGUGAAACUCAAAGGGAUUGACGGGGGCCCGCACAAGCGGAGGAACAUGUGGUUUAAUUCGAUGAUACGCGAGGAACCUUACCCGGGCUUAAAUUGCAGUGGAAUGAUGUGGAAACAUGUCAGUGAGCAAUCACCGCUGUGAAGGUGCUGCAUGGUUGUCGUCAGCUCGUGCCGUGAGGUGUCGGCUUAAGUGCCAUAACGAGCGCAACCCUUAUCUUCAGUUACUAACAGGUCAUGCUGAGGACUCUGGAGAGACUGCCGUCGUAAGAUGUGAGGAAGGUGGGGAUGACGUCAAAUCAGCACGGCCCUUACGUCCGGGGCUACACACGUGUUACAAUGGGGGGUACAGAAGGCAGCUAGCGGGUGACCGUAUGCUAAUCCCAAAAUCCUCUCUCAGUUCGGAUCGAAGUCUGCAACCCGACUUCGUGAAGCUGGAUUCGCUAGUAAUCGCGCAUCAGCCACGGCGCGGUGAAUACGUUCCCGGGCCUUGUACACACCGCCCGUCAAGCCAUGGGAGCCGGGGGUACCUGAAGUACGUAACCGCAAGGAUCGUCCUAGGGUAAAACUGGUGACUGG